UACGAGGGGGGCAAGCGUUGUUCGGAAUUAUUGGGCGUAAAGAGCUCGUAGGCGGUGUGUCGCGUCGGCCGUGAAAACCUGCAGCUUAACUGUGGGCGUGCGGUCGAUACGGGCAUCACUGGAGUUCGGCAGGGGAGACUGGAAUUCCUGGUGUAGCGGUGAAAUGCGUAGAUAUCGAGAGGAACACCUGCGGCGAAGGCGGGUUGCUGGGCUCACACUGACGCUGAUGCGCGAAAGCCAGGGGAGCGAACGGG
rnacentral:rRNA from 1 species